AUAUCAAUAAGCGGAGGAAAAGAAACCAACAGGGAUUGCCUCAGUAACGGCGAGUGAAGCGGCAACAGCUCAAAUUUGAAAUCUGGCCCUCGGGUCCGAGUUGUAAUUUGUAGAGGAUGCUUCUGGCGCGGUGCCUUCCGAGUUCCCUGGAACGGGACGCCAUAGAGGGUGAGAGCCCCGUCUGGUUGGACGCCUAGCCUCUGUGAAGCUCCUUCGACGAGUCGAGUAGUUUGGGAAUGCUGCUCUAAAUGGGAGGUAUAUGUCUUCUAAAGCUAAAUACCGGCCAGAGACCGAUAGCGCACAAGUAGAGUGAUCGAAAGAUGAAAAGCACUUUGAAAAGAGGGUUAAAUAGUAUGUGAAAUUGUUGAAAGGGAAGCGCUCAUGACCAGACUUGGGCUUGGCGGAUCAUCCGGCGUUCUCGCCGGUGCACUUCACCAGUCCAGGCCAGCAUCAGUUCGCCUCGGGGGAUAAAGGCUUCGGGAACGUGGCUCCUCCGGGAGUGUUAUAGCCCGUUGCGUAAUACCCUGCGGCGGACUGAGGUUCGCGCUCCGCAAGGAUGCUGGCGUAAUGGUCAUCAGCGA
rnacentral:rRNA from 1 species